GCUCAGCCUCCUCCGUCGUCCCGGCGAGGCUCCGCCGCGGGAGCGUCGGAUUCUCGCCGCCCAGCCUUCUCCCUCGUCCCCUGCGCCGCGGGCUCGCGUCCCAGACACCGCCGCGGGCUCGUGUCCCCUCUGGGCGCGGACGGCGAGCCGCCCAGCGCCCGCAGCCGCGUGGCCACCUAAGGCGGCGGCGCGGACGGCGGGCCACCCAGCGCCAGCACACGCCAGCCGCGGGCUCAUGUCCCCUCUGGUCGCGGACGGCGGCGCGAUGAGCAUCCACGACGCGCUCAAGUUCAUCUACCUCGCCAUCGCAUCCGCCGUUGCCUCCUUCGUCUUCGUCCGUAAGUCCGCCGCUCUCUCUCUCCCUGUCGCGCCGCGCGAGGAGCCGGGGCACCGAGCACGCAGACUAAGGAACCGGAGCACCGAACACGCAGACUAGAACCGGGGCACCAAGCACGCAGACUAAGGCCGACUUGUUGUGUUGCGCCGCGAGAAGAGGAUUGUCACCGGCGAGAGGCAGGCGGCGCAGAUACGGAACCUGUACCUCAAGACCAUCCAGCGCCAGGAGAUCGCCUUCUUCGACAAGUACACCAGCACUAGCGAGGUCGUGGGCAGGAUGUCCGGCGACACGGUGCUCAUCCAGGACGCCAUGAGCGAGAAGGUCGGCAAGUUCAUCCAGCUUGUCGACACCUUCUUCGGCGGCUUCAUCGACGCCUUCGCGCAGGGUUGGCUGCUCACCCUCGUCAUGAUGGCCGCUCGUCCUGGCGGGCGUCGUCAUGUCCAACGUCGUUGCCAAGAUGGCGUCCCUGGGCUAGGCAGCCUACGCGGAGUCGUCGGUGGUGGUGGAGGCCGUGGAGCAGACCAUCAGCUCCAUCAGAACGGUUGCGUCUUUCACCGGCGAGAAACGUGCGAUGGAGAAGUACUAGUCCCAGAAGAGUGCAUAUAAGUCCGGCGUCCGGGAAGGCCUACGAGGGAGAAGGCUGGGCGGCGAGGAUCCGACGCUCCCGCGGCGGCGCCUCGCCGGGAUGAGGGAGGAGUUUGAGCGGCGAGGAUCCGAUACUCCCGCGGCGGCGCCUCGCCGGAACGCGAGCCCGCGGCGCAGGAGACGAGGGAGGAGCUUGGGCGGCGAGGAUCUGACACUUUGUGGCGGGGGAGGAGUGGCAGAGGAGAGCGAGCCAUCAGCUAGGAGAGCAAAAGAGCCAGCGGCUAGGAGAGCCGCGCGCGAGUGCCAGCACGGGAGGAUCGUAAGAUCACGGGUCGAUGGCUGAUAUCGCGUGACUGCACAGUAAAGUCAAGUCAAGAAGUCCAACUGUAGAGGAUCUGAUUCCCCUAAGGCAGUCCCAAACCAGACUCUACUAUAGAGUCUAAGCCUCCUAUUUAUUGUAUUUUGCUGAUGUGGCAGUAUAUUUAUGAAAGAAAGAGUGAGAGAA